UUAACUCAAAUUUGAAUCGAGUUGGGACGUUUGCCUACGUGUGCCGCUAAGGGCGCUGUUCCAACUGCAUACAUAUUUCAGUUA
rnacentral:pre_miRNA from 1 species